rnacentral:rRNA from 1 species
AUUGAACGCUGGCGGCAUGCCUUACACAUGCAAGUCGAACGGUAACAGGUCUUCGGAUGCUGACGAGUGGCGAGCGGGUGAGUAAUACAUCGGAACGUGCCCGAGAGUGGGGGAUAACGAGGCGAAAGCUUUGCUAAUACCGCAUACGAUCUCAGGAUGAAAGCAGGGGACCGCAAGGCCUUGCGCUCACGGAGCGGCCGAUGGCAGAUUAGGUAGUUGGUGGGAUAAAAGCUUACCAAGCCGACGAUCUGUAGCUGGUCUGAGAGGACGACCAGCCACACUGGGACUGAGCCACGGCCCAGACUCCUACGGGAGGCAGCAGUGGGGAAUUUUGGACAAUGGGCGCAAGCCUGAUCCAGCCAUGCCGCGUGCAGGAUGAAGGCCUUCGGGUUGUAAACUGCUUUUGUACGGAACGAAAAGACUCUGGUUAAUACCUGGGGUCCAUGACGGUACCGUAAGAAUAAGCACCGGCUAACUACGUGCCAGCAGCCGCAGUAACAC